AGGAUAAUAGUUAAAUAAUAAUAUUUAAUUUGCUCUUAAAAGUUAAUUCCAAAUUUUAUCUUA
rnacentral:tRNA from 1 species